AACGUAGGACACAAGCGUUAUCCGGAGUUACUGGGCGUAAAGGGCGUGUAGGCGGAUCGGUAAGUCUACUCUGAAAGCUCCUGGCUAAACUGGGAGAGGCGAGUGGAGACUGUCGGUCUAGAGUGAGGAAGAGGAAAGUGGAAUUCCGCGUGUAGUGGUGAAAUGCGUAGAGAUGCGGAGGAACACCAGUGGCGAAAGCGGACUUUCU
rnacentral:rRNA from 1 species